UGAACUGNCAAGCUAGAGUGUGUCAGAGGGGGGUAGAAUUCCACGUGUAGCAGUGAAAUGCGUAGAGAUGUGGAGGAAUACCGAUGGCGAAGGCAGCCCCCUGGGAUAACACUGACGUUCAUGCUCGAAAGCGUGGGUAGCAAACAGGAUUAGAUACCCUGGUAGUCCACGCCCUAAACGAUGUCAAUUAGCUGUUGGGCAACUUGAUUGCUUAGUAGCGUAGCUAACGCGUGAAAUUGACCGCCUGGGGAGUACGGUCGCAAGAUUAAAACUCAAAGGAAUUGACGGGGACCCGCACAAGCGGUGGAUGAUGUGGAUUAAUUCGAUGCAACGCGAAGAACCUUACCUGGUCUUGACAUGUACGGAAUCUCUCAGAGACGGGAGAGUGCCUUCGGGAACCGUAACACAGGUGCUGCAUGGCUGUCGUCAGCUCGUGUCGUGAGAUGUUGGGUUAAGUCCCGCAACGAGCGCAACCCUUAUCAUUAGUUGCCAUCAUUUGGUUGGGCACUCUAAUGAGACUGCCGGUGACAAACCGGAGGAAGGUGGGGAUGACGUCAAGUCCUCAUGGCCCUUAUGACCAGGGCUUCACACGUCAUACAAUGGUCGGUACAGAGGGUCGCCAAGCCGCGAGGUGGAGCCAAUCUCACAAAACCGAUCGUAGUCCGGAUUGCACUCUGCAACUCGAGUGCAUGAAGUCGGAAUCGCUAGUAAUCGCAGGUCAGCAUACUGCGGUGAAUACGUUCCCGGGUCUUGUACACACCGCCCGUCGCACCAUGGGAGUGGGGGAUACCAGAAGUAGGUAGGAUAACCGCAAGGAGUCCGCUU
rnacentral:rRNA from 1 species